UGGGGUAUCGCCCAGCGGUAAGGCACCGGUUUUUGAGACCGGCAUUCCCUGGUUCGAAUCCAGGUACCCCAGCCA
rnacentral:tRNA from 1 species